rnacentral:rRNA from 2 species
UGGGGAAUAUUGGGCAAUGGGCGCAAGCCUGACCCAGCAACGCCGCGUGAGGGAAGAAGGUCUUCGGAUUGUAAACCUCUGUCCUUGGGGACGAAAAAAAUGACGGUACCCAAGGAGGAAGCUCCGGCUAACUACGUGCCAGCAGCCGCGGUAAUACGUAGGGAGCGAGCGUUGUCCGGAAUUACUGGGCGUAAAGGGUGCGUAGGCGGCUUGGCAAGUCAGAUGUGAAAUCCCCGGGCUUAACUCGGGAGUUGCAUUUGAAACUGCUAGGCUUGAGUGCAGGAGAGGAAAGCGGAAUUCCUAGUGUAGCGGUGAAAUGCGUAGAUAUUAGGAGGAACACCAGUGGCGAAGGCGGCUUUCUGGACUGUAACUGACGCUGAGGCACGAAAGCGUGGGGAGCAAACA